UCUUCCGUAGUAUAGUGGUCAGUAUGUGAGCUUGUCAUCAGUCGGAGCUCACAUGAGUUCGAGACAUCGCUCGAGACCCGGGUUCAAUUCCCGGCGGGAGAG